UACGGGGGGAGCAAGCGUUGUUCGGAUUUACUGGGCGUAAAGGGCUCGUAGGCGGCCAACUAAGUCAUACGUGAAAUCCCUCAGCUUAACUGGGGAACUGCGUGUGAUACUGCUCGGCUUGAAGGUGGGAGAGGGUAGCGGAAUUCCCGGUGUAGUGGUGAAAUGCGUAGAUAUCGGGAGGAACACCGGUGGCGAAGGCGAGUCCCUGGACAAACCCUGACACUGAGGCACGAAAGCCAAGGGAGCAAACAGG
rnacentral:rRNA from 1 species